UUUAAGCGUGAUACUGAAAAUUGUAAAUGUUAUCUUGUUUGUUUUCGGAUUUGGAUGGUUCCUUACUGGUGCAGUUAUACUUGGAGGGGUCCUACUGAACAGUCAUGUCAACAAAAUUUUGAACAUCAUUUCAAUUCUUUCAACUGGACUUGGUGACGAAAUAAAAAUCUUAUCCUCAAUGUUAAUUGUGAUAGGGUUUUUCGUAAUGUUUGAAUCUAUUAUAGGAUUUUUUCUUGAAACGUUGAACGACAAAAAACAAAAGAAACCACGGUGGAAUAUUGUGAUAUAUGGGUAUUUUAUUUUUGGUCUCAUGUUAUUUUUGUCAACACUGAUAAUCUUUGGGUUGUGGAUUCACACGAGAGAAAAGGUA